rnacentral:rRNA from 1 species
UUGCAGGCAGGGAUUAGUGGCGCACGGGUGAGUAAUAUAUAGGUAACGUGCCUCUUAGUCUGGGAUAGCCAUUGGAAACGAUGAUUAAUACUAGAUACUCCUUCUGAUUUUAAUAUCAGUUGGGAAAGUUUUUCGCUAAGAGAUCGGCCUAUUUCCCAUCAGCUAGUUGGUAGUGUAAGAGACUACCAAGGCAAUGACGGGUAGCGGGUUUGAGAGGAUGAUCCGCCACACUGGUACUGAGACACGGACCAGACUCCUACGGGAGGCAGCAGUGAGGAAUAUUGCACAAUGGAGGAAACUCUGAUGCAGCAACGCCGCGUGGAGGAUGACGCAUUUCGGUGUGUAAACUCCUUUUAUAUGUCAAGAAAAUGACGGUNGCAUAUGAAUAAGCACCGGCUAACUCCGUGCCAGCAGCCGCGGUAAUACGGGGGG